rnacentral:sRNA from 1 species
AUUGUGUUUUUGUGUUUUUUUU